rnacentral:rRNA from 1 species
CCUACGGGUGACUGCAGUGGGGAAUAUUGGGCAAUGGGCGCAAGCCUGACCCAGCCACGCCGCGUGAAGGAAGAAGGCUCUCGGGUUGUAAACUUCUUUUAUCAGGGACGAAGCAAGUAACGGUACCUGCUGAAUAAGCCACGGCUAACUACGUGCCAGCAGCCGCGGUAAUACGUAGGUGGCAAGCGUUAUCCGGAUUUACUGGGUGUAAAGGGCGUGUAGGCGGGAAAGCAAGUCAGAUGUGAAAACCAUGGGCUCAACCUGUGGCCUGCAUUUGAACCUGUUUUUCUUGAGUACUGGAGAGGCAGACGGAAUUCCAAGUGUAGCGGUGAAAUGCGUAGAGAUUAGGAGGAACACCAGUGGCGAAGGCGGUCUGCUGGACAGCAACUGACGCUGAGGCGCGAAAGCGUGGGGAGCAAACAGGAUUAGAUACCCUUGUAGUC